UAGGUUUAUAUCCUAAACCUGCUCUAUUGAAUACUGCUCGUUGACUAUUAAGUAUCAUAUUCAGUUUUUCUGAACUUGCGCACAAGAAGAGCCUCAUCAUCAUCUCCCUCAUGAUCUUCUUCUUCACUGCUGCUACUGCAAGACAAAUCUUUGUUAGAUGAUUUAGAUUUGAGAGCUAUUACCUUUUUCUUAUGGGAGGACUCUUCUUCGCUGUGCUGCUUCAUUGUUAGCUCGUGAGUCAUUAGGGAUCCAAGGAGCUCUUCAAGUGGAAGCUUGUUCAAGUCCUUAGCUUCUUGGAUUGCCGUCACCUUGGCUUCCCAUGACCUUGGUAGAAGCGAAGAAUUUUCCUGACAAGAUCACUGUUAGUAUAGUUUUUGCCAAGGCUUUUUAGGCCAUUGACAAUGUCAGUAAACCUAGUGAACAUGCUAGUGAUUGUCUCAUUAGAGUCCAUCUUAAAUAGUUC
rnacentral:lncRNA from 1 species